AACAGUCUGACCUGCCUCGGUCCCCUGAAUCCAACCUGUAAGAAGAAAAAAGCCAUGAAAUAGGCUUGUGAGGCCAUUCUGAAAUGAAUUACCUGAGGGGGGUUAAAACCGAUCCAAACCUACAAAGGGAUUAUCCAUCCUGAAAAGCAGAUUGAAAAUUAAUUAAUUACUCACCCUGAAAUUAAGAUUGGACCCUUAAUUAAGUCACUGCCAGGCCAGAACUAGAAUUCAUCCCCCAGAGUCCUGGUUGACUGCUUGACCCAUGAUGUCACUACCUCCUCACCUGAGAGUUCUUCUAUCUGUUACAACAAUAAGUAUGAAAUCAUAAAAAGAAAGAAUUCAUCAGAAUGUCUGUGCUCUGUUUCACUGUAUUCCUGGCUUGAAGAUAAAGCUCUUUUUGUCUAUUACAAUGAGUAAAUGUAUUCAGUUCUACUCUGAUGGGCUCAAUUAUUCAACUCAAAACUUGAGGAAACUCUGCAAGCAAAACCGAAUUUACCUUGAAUUUUCUUACUGUAUUUUUUCUGGUUUCACCAUACUUUCUCACAUGUGGAAGAGGGGCAUGAGAAGAAGUACUGCGUUUCCUCGGUCCCUGUGGGGAGACAGGGCCAUGUGACGAGCUAUUGCCAAGAAGUUAUGAAUGAAACAGCAGUGUUGGAAAUGGCAGUGGCUCCAUCGAGCCCAAGUUCCCAGUGGCCCCCACCAACCCAGGACAGACGAGCAGUACAAGCAAGGAAUAAAUGUUUGGUAUCUAAGACACUGAGAUUUUUAAGACAUCGUCACCACAGAGUGACCUAGCCUAUCCUGAUUAAUAAAUCCAUGACGCGUUUUAAGUGAUUAA